CUCACAUACUACAGUGAAGCCUGUGCACCCAACUGUGAGAAUGUGAAAAUGACCAGAACUGCUGCCAUGCUCAAGGCCCCGUCCACUCUGCAGUCUGGGAUGGUGGGGCACCAGCCUUCAACCCUGCAAAUGAUGAAAUGCCCUGGGAUGGUUCUCAAGAACCUAACAUAGUGCAGGAUACAACAUAAGCACUCAAUAAUCUCUUCCUGAACAGAUAAAGAAGGAAAUAAACAUCUGCAAUCACAACCUCUGUUCACUCUUCCUGUAUAUUUUUUUUACCUGGUUUCUCUCUCUUCCUUGCCCACACCUCUCUAAAAUGACUCCUGGCGUUAUUCCAGGAGUUGUUGAGUGGAGCAGCUGGACCCCACCAUGCAGGAUGGCAUUGUUGUCUUUCUGUGUGAGCUGACUCAGGCUGGAGGAGGAGUAAGGGAUAAAACGUUUCCUUAAAUUCUGACUGAGGUGUGCACUAGCUUGAGAGGAUUUUCAUGACACUUUCUAGUGGAAUGGACCAUUCAGUUGGCUAUCAAGAUGUGUGUUCUUGACUCUGUCCUGGAGCUAACCCAUGUAUUUGCAUAUCUAAAAUGGCAUUCAUUUAAAAGAUGUAUGUUAAUGAAUAACAUCAUUAACAUGAAAUUUUAGAUUCUAAUGGGUGCUGUUUAGGGGCUUACCAGUAGGCAAAAGACAGACACAGUUUACAUCCUAUUCAAGAAAAGAACAUUCGAUGAUUAAAUCUGA